UUGGAGGUGCUGGCAGCCAUCGUGCCACCCUGAAGGAAGAGCCUGGGAAUAGAGAACACAAAGGAACGCAGAGCCAAGCAAUGGAGAGAGAAAGAUCAACAUUUUUAUAUUGAGGACUGAUUAUAUUUUGUAUAAAUGAAAUAUUUUUAUCCUGACAAUAUUUUUAGAGUGACCUGGAUCCAACCAGACCUGAAGUAUCACCCAAACUUAUGCAUUCUGGCUCUGACAAAUCACCUGUUGUAGUGGUGAUUUGAGGCAGCUUGAAUUAAUUUUUUUCUGUCACUUGCUCCCAAAAGGGUUCUCUCUGAUGGAGGGGGCUCUGUUAAGUGUAAGAUUGUUCCCUCUCCUGUGAAAUCUCAAAUCUCAGGUGAUCUGGUGGAAGGAAAUCAUUUUAAAAGAAACAAGAGGGGAUCCAUUAACAUCUCAAGGAGUUCCCCAAAAAGGAUUGUGUGGAACUCAUGAAGAUAACUCGUGCUUCUUAAGACAUUUGAAACUGGGCAGGGAAUUCGCCAAUCAUGCUGACGUGAUUCUAGAAGAAGGAGGCAGAUUAGCAUCGGGCAGGUGAGAAAGCGGCUGGUGCCAGGGGGACUCCUGCAGGCUCGAAGGCUGUCACGCUGGUUCCCAGAGCCAAGAGGGUGACCGAGCCCCUGCCCCAGAUGCUGCAGAGAUGAGGCACAGCUCAGGCUCUGACUUGGCUAGAGUCUAAGGAGGUUCUGCUCAUGGCAGAUGACCAGAAUGCAAUAAACCAAGCCAAACCAAGCCCUGCCAAUUUCCUGUCUGACCAAAGCAAGUCAUGUGGCUAAGCCCAACAUCAGUGGGGCAGGGAAGUACACACCACCCACGUGGAACGGAGAGGGAAAUGAACACUGGCUGAACAACAGUCCACACUGUCACAGGGCACAGAGCCUGCCAUGUUACUACUUGCAAGUGAAGGAAUGGACGAAGGAAGGAAAGAACGAAUGAAUGAAGGAUGGAAGGCAACUGCUUAACUACUGCUCCACCAACGGAACUCAUUCCCUUCCCAGGAUCAUAUCUUUAAACAGCUCCUGACCCCAGCUUCCUGGGGGAAGGGAGGAAGAGCAGAUCAGAAUAGGCAUCUGGAGACUCAAGUUCUAAUCGUGAGCCUGAGGGUGCUCAAGUGACUGCCCCUCUUUGGGCUUCACUUUCACAUCUGAAAUAUGAAGGAUUUGGUUCAAUGAUCUAAGG